CCUACGGGAGGCAGCAGUGGGGAAUAUUGGGCAAUGGAGGAAACUCUGACCCAGCGACGCCGCGUGCGGGAUGAAGGCCUUCGGGUUGUAAACCGCUUUCAGCAGGGAAGAAGCGAAAGUGACGGUACCUGCAGAAGAAGCACCGGCUAACUAUGCGCCAGCAGCCGCGGUAAUACAUAGGGUGCAAGCGUUGUCCGGAAUUAUUGGGCGUAAAGAGCUCGUAGGUGGUUCGUCACGUCGGAUGUGAAAAUCUGGGGCUUAACCCCAGACCUGCAUUCGAUACGGGCGAGCUUGAGUAUGGUAGGGGAGUCUGGAAUUCCUGGUGUAGCGGUGGAAUGCGCAGAUAUCAGGAGGAACACCAAUGGCGAAGGCAGGACUCUGGGCCAUUACUGACACUGAGGAGCGAAAGCGUGGGGAGCGAACAGGAUUAGAUACCCUGGUAGUCCACGCCGUAAACGGUGGGCACUAGUUGUGGGGACCUUCCACGGUCUCUGCGACGCAGCUAACGCAUUAAGUGCCCCGCCUGGGGAGUACGAUCGCAAGNUUAAACUCAAAGGAAUUGACGG
rnacentral:rRNA from 1 species